GUCUUUUUGUAAAUAAUAUAAAGUCUAAUCUGCCCACUGAUUUAAUUAUUAAAGGGCUGCAGUAUUUUGACUGUACAAAGGUAGCAUAAUCAUUAGUCAUUUAAUUGAUGACUUGUAUGAAAGAUUGGAUGAAAUAUAUACUGUCUCUUAUUUAUAAUAUAAAAUUUAAUUUUUUAGUUAAAAAGCUAAAAUUAAUUAAAAAGACGAGAAGACCCUAUAGAGUUUUAUAAAUUAUAAUUAUUAAGAUUAUUUAUAAAAUUAAUAAUUAAAAUAAUUUAAUUUAAUUUGUUGGGGUGACAAAAAAAUAAAAAUAACUUUUUUUUUAUAAAACAUAAAUAAGUGAAUAAUUGAUCCAAUAUUAUUGAUUAUAAGAAAAAAUUACCUUAGGGAUAACAGCGUAAUUUUUUUUUUUAGUUCAUAUAAAAAAAAGAGUUUGCGACCUCGAUGUUGGAUUAAGAUAAAAUUUAAAUGCAGAAGUUUAAAAUUUUUGAUCUGUUCGAUCAUUAAAAUCUUACAU
rnacentral:rRNA from 1 species